ACCCACUUUACUGCCAUUCAAAUUUCAUCAUCUUCAGUACCAGUAAUAGAAAAAUUAAAUAAAAUUGAAAAAGGUAUAAAGCAAGUUCUUCCAUUUGCAAAUUCCUCUUCAUCCUAACCAUGCAAAUGCAAAUCCAUCUUCCUAUCGCAACACCAACAAUGACAUUAAAUUUUUUCUUUUUUGAGAAUCAAGAAAUUUGCAGUAACAACAUCGUUGUUCCAUUUAUUAGAAGCGGGUUGUCCACUGUCGUACUGUACUAACCUGGUUCUCUCAACCCCAUUUGUCACGUGAGUUUUGUGCGAGGCGGGGCGUGACACAUUUGCAAUGCCAAAAUUGAAGGAGAGAAGAAGACUUCGGUACUGGUGACGGAAAGGAAAGACAGCUCUUUUCUAAUUUGUAAUGACAAUCAUCAGCAUCACUCGAAUAGAUAAGACUGUUUUUUUCUAAUUUGGAAUGACAAUCAUUAGCAUCACUCGAAU
rnacentral:lncRNA from 1 species